UAUUGAACACGUAUAUGUGCCAAGCGCUAUUCUCAAACUGCCCCAUGAGGAAUGGACCACAGAGCUCCAUUUUACAGAUGGGGAAACUGAGAUGGGAGGAUGAGCCUGAGACCACACAGGAAGCAAAGCCUACAGCUUCCAAGAUGAAGCAUGGAAUUCCAGACUGAGGGGCUUUACAAGUUCAUCUCUCUCCCUACAUCCAACUCAGUCUGCUCCUACAACAGAUCCCACUGCCAGAGAGACAGUAAACAGGCA
rnacentral:lncRNA from 10 species